AUUGAACGCUGGCGGCAGGCCUAACAUAUGCAAGUAGAACGAGUGGCGGACGGGUGAGUAAUGGCUGGGAAACUGCCUGAUGUAGGGGGAUAACUACUGGAAAAGGUAGCUAAUAACGCAUACCAUCGGAUGUGCCCAGAUGGGAUUAGCUAGUAGGUGGGGUAAAGGUUCACCUCGGCGACGAUCCCUAGCUGGUGUGAGAGGAUGACCAGCCACACUGGAACUGAGACACGUUCCAGACUCCUACGGGAGGCAGCAGUGGGGAAUAUUGCACAAUGGGCGCAAGCCUGAUGCAGCCAGGCCGCGUGUAUGAAGAAGGCCUUCGGGUUGUAAAGUACUUUCAGCGGGGAGGCGUUACCCGCAGAAGAAGCACCGGCUAACUCCGUGCCAGCAGCCGCGGUAAUUC
rnacentral:rRNA from 1 species